UUGGUGGAGCGAUUUGUCU
rnacentral:ncRNA from 2 species